rnacentral:rRNA from 1 species
AUCAGGGGUAAACCUGUGGAACUCGAACGAGCGAACGGGGAGAUUCAUUCAUCGCCCUUCCGUCGGAGUCCGCGGCGUCGCGUAACGACGGCGCGUCGGCGGCGGGCGCGUUCGCGCGUCCGUCGUCCGCGUCGCGCGCGGCGUCGCAGGAAGGCUCCCGGAGUGCGUGCACUUCUCCCUCAGUAAAACACCGCGACCCGUUGUGCGCUCGAACUUCGCGUUCGAGUCUCGGUCGAACGCGCCGUGCGGCAGUCCCGGUCCCCCCGCGCGGGGGAUCGGAGCCGCGGCGUCGCGGCCGACGUGCGACGGUAGAGAACGAGGUAUGCGUCCGCGCGCGCUCGCAAGAGCGCGCGCGUCCGCGGUGCGACGGCGCCGCUCCCCGUUCGGUCCUCGGCGCGCAAGCGUCGCGGGCGCCGAACGCGGUCGACGGACGGCGCGCUGCGUUAGGAGCGCGCGCGCCGUUCGUCGCGAGCGGCGCGCUCGGUCGCACCGGCUCGGACGGGACGCGCGUCCCGUCGGCGGUGGUUGUUC